GAAUAGCGGCGCGAUUCGCCCUUAGAGUUUGAUCCUGGCUCAGAUUGAACGCUGGCGGCAUGCCUUACACAUGCAAGUCGAACGGCAGCACGGGUGCUUGCACCUGGUGGCGAGUGGCGAACGGGUGAGUAGUGCAUCGGAACGUACCCAGUAGUGGGGGAUAACUACCCGAAAGGGUGGCUAAUACCGCAUAUACUGUGCGCAGGAAAGCAGGGGACCGUAAGGCCUUGUGCUACUGGAGCGGCCGAUGUCAGAUUAGCUAGUUGGUGGGGUAAAGGCCUACCAAGGCGACGACCUGUAGCGGGUCUGAGAGGAUGAUCCGCCACACUGGGACUGAGACACGGCCCAGACUCCUACGGGAGGCAGCAGUGGGGAAUUUUGGACAAUGGGGGCAACCCUGAUCCAGCCAUGCCGCGUGAGUGAAGAAGGCCUUCGGGUUGUAAAGCUCUUUCGGACGGAAAGAAAACGGAUGGGUUAAUACCCUGUUCGGAUGACGGUACCGUCAUAAGAAGCACCGGCUAACUACGUGCCAGCAGCCGCGGUAAUACGUAGGGUGCGAGCGUUAAUCGGAAUUACUGGGCGUAAAGCGUGCGCAGGCGGUUGAUUAAGACAGGCGUGAAAUCCCCGGGCUUAACCUGGGAACUGCGCUUGUGACUGGUCGGCUAGAGUACGGCAGAGGGGGGUGGAAUUCCACGUGUAGCAGUGAAAUGCGUAUAGAUGUGGAGGAACACCGAUGGCGAAUGCAGCCCCCUGGGCCGAUACUGACGCUCAUGCACGAAAGCGUGGGUAGCAAACAGGAUUAGAUACCCUGGUAGUCCACGCCCUAAACGAUGUCAACUAGUUGUUGGGAGGGUAAAACCUUUUAGUAACGUAGCUAACGCGUGAAGUUGACCGCCUGGGGAGUACGGCCGCAAGCUAAAACUCAUAGGAAUUGACGGGACCCGCACAAGCGGUGGAUGAUGUGAUUAAUUCGAUGCAACGCGAAAACCUUACCUACUCUUGACAUGUCAGAGAUCCCUGAGAGAUUGGGGUGCUGCUGCAAGAAAUCUGAACACAGUGCUGCAUGACUGUCGUCAGCCUCGUGUCCGUGAGAUGUAGGAUAAGAUCCGCAAGCGGUCCUAACCAUUGUCGUAAGUGGCCAUCAAUAGGGUUGGGGCCACUUUUAACC
rnacentral:rRNA from 1 species